GUCGAACGCUUUGUCUUUAACUGAUAUGAAGAGCUUGCUCUGAUUUGAUUCUAUCUGACAAAGAGUGGCGAACGGGUGAGUAACACGUGGGUAACCUACCUCUUAGCAGGGGAUAACAUUUGGAAACAAGUGCUAAUACCGUAUAAUACCAACAACCGCAUGGUUGUUGGUUGAAAGAUGGUUCUGCUAUCACUAAGAGAUGGACCCGCGGUGCAUUAGCUAGUUGGUAAGGUAACGGCUUACCAAGGCAAUGAUGCAUAGCCGAGUUGAGAGACUGAUCGGCCACAAUGGGACUGAGACACGGCCCAUACUCCUACGGGAGGCAGCAGUAGGGAAUCUUCCACAAUGGGCGCAAGCCUGAUGGAGCAACGCCGCGUGUGUGAUGAAGGGUUUCGGCUCGUAAAACACUGUUAUAAGAGAAGAACGGCACUGAGAGUAACUGUUCAGUGUGUGACGGUAUCUUACCAGAAAGGAACGGCUAAAUACGUGCCAGCAGCCGCGGUAAUACGUAUGUUCCAAGCGUUAUCCGGAUUUAUUGGGCGUAAAGCGAGCGCAGACGGUUAUUUAAGUCUGAAGUGAAAGCCCUCAGCUCAACUGAGGAAUGGCUUUGGAAACUGGAUGACUUGAGUGCAGUAGAGGAAAGUGGAACUCCAUGUGUAGCGGUGAAAUGCGUAGAUAUAUGGAAGAACACCAGUGGCGAAGGCGGCUUUCUGGACUGUAACUGACGUUGAGGCUCGGAAGUGUGGGUAGCAAACAGGAUUAGAUACCCUGGUAGUCCACACCGUAAACGAUGAGUGCUAGAUGU
rnacentral:rRNA from 1 species